AUAAAAUAAAAACAAGUUCACAGGCAAUUAAAAAGAUAAAUGCAUAAGAAUUCUCAAAAGCUGUCACAAUUUUUAGAUUGGAGCUCUAAGGAAAUGCCACGUCAAGAAGCCUUUUCGGACACAAAACACGUUUAUUAUCACCGGACUAUUUAAAAGAAAACAAUUCAAAAAGCGCCGUCAUGUAAAUCUCUCACUCGCAAGUCAAUGCCCAAUUGAUUGCCUCUAAUUGGGAAGAUAAGAAAAAACUAGUUUUGGCUGAGGCAGAUAAACAAACAAGCGAAACACACAGAGACUCCAAUUCGUCUCAAUUGGCCUAUGUGCAAAUGUGGAAAAAGAGUAUUUAACAUUACCAACAGCUCUUUCAGUUACGCACUUUACUGUAAACACACACAAAUAAAAUGGGCCAAGUGAAAGAUGUUUAGAAAUUACUCACUGAUGACGCUGGCAUGAGUGCGCAGCCUUUAAAACAUGUGUAAAUUAAACACUCAGCAAAACA
rnacentral:sRNA from 1 species